rnacentral:tRNA from 1 species
UAUAGCUCAGUGGUUCAGCACGUGCUUACUACACAUGAGGUCCUGGGUUCAAUCCCCAGUA